rnacentral:misc_RNA from 1 species
GAGAGAGAGAGAGAGACGUGCUUGAACCACAAAAUUAGAACAUUCACGGGUGCAUUGGGAGAAACCACAUUGCAUUUUUGCUUUAUUCUUACUUUUAUAAAGCAAACAUGUUUAGCCAUCACAAUCAUUAACUAAAUUCAAAGAGAAAAAUCAGAAAUGUUUUAAUUAGCUCCAUAUACACUAGUAUAUAUUUGAGGAUAUCAUAGAGGAGAACCAAAAGAAAUAUUAAUGUCCAACAAGCAUGUGACACCAUCUGGCAAGAAGGACGUUGUCCUUUUCCCUCUUUUUUCUUUCUUUCCAUUUUUUUUUUCAGUGUAUACACUUGACCAGCACACAUAAACUCAGGUACUGCUACCCAGAGAAAGUCCCAAUCUUUAUCUUCACAGUAGCAUCAGUACAUUCUUUAUAAAUCCAAUUAAAUUGCUUAUGCAACAAACAAAUUAUCAUUCAGCAAAACCAUAUCUUACUGUUAACUUGUACUUAGAAGUUAUAAUAAAUUUUAAAUGGAAAAGAAGAAGCAAAGGGGCAAGAGAGGAAAG